AAUAUUUGAGGAAAGAACCCAACUACAAAAUACUUUAGUGUUUAAAAAAUAUAUAAAUGACCAACCCGGUAUUACAAUGAAUCGAAUCUUGAAAAUUCAAAAAGUGAAGAAGAGACUCAUGACAAUUAUAAUUCCUGUAUCUUUUUAAUCUUCUACUCUGCUUCAUUCGGUUGAAUUCAGCCUGGGUGCUUCAUUCGGUUGAGUUCAGCCUGGGGUGCUUUUGUCGCUGCUUCUUUGGGUUGAGUUCAGCCUGAGUGAUUUUGUCGACAUGAAUAUCCAGUAAAAGUGGAAGUAGCAGUUUGGAUAAAUAAAAACCGACUCAAGAUAGCCGUUUUCAGAUGAUAAUAUUAUAACAUUUUGGUUAGACAAUUAUUUUCCAAUUUGGAUUCUUCCCAAGUUUCCUAUGUCUAUUUCCUCGCUUAUGUUAUUCUCGCCAUAGACAGUCUCCCGUGUCUCUUUCUUCCUCAUGUGAUAUUUUGUCUGCUCAUUAGUAGUCAAAACCUCGUCGGAGUAGUUUAGUGAGCAAUGGGUUGUCAAAACGUCGGAGUAGUUUAGUGAGCAAUGGGUUGUCAAAACUUUGAUUCAGUAGUUUGGUGAGCCAUAUAAGAGAAGAAACUCUUUCUCAAAAUCAAAUUAGGUGAUAAAGACUAAAAAAAAGGAAUAUACACUAAUUUUCAGGUUGGGUUUUGAGCGGAAACUCCUUGUCAAAAUCAAAUUAUCUGGUAAAGAUGGAAAAAGGAU
rnacentral:lncRNA from 1 species